GAGGACGCAGGGGAGCCUAGCAGAGAUUUCAACUCCUCAGCCUCAGAGACCCAGCAAUCAAAUGCCCCGACUCCCUGCCAAGCCAGUCUCCCUGCAGGUGACAAAGCCGCAGGUCAGCCAGUUUCAAGAAGAUUUGCAAGGGUGCAAAAGACUAUUUUGAGGCGAACAAGACGCCGGCGCCAUAGGAGGCGAAAGAGAAAACCCUCCAGGAAGAUUCUGAGAACCUUUGCGAGAGAUGGGAGAAAGCCCUCACUUGAGGACUGCCAUCUGCUCAACGUGGAGCCGUCUACCAGUGAUCCUGAGCAAGAAGAAGAGGUCACACCGAGCACUAGCGUCUCCACUAGUGACUAGGCCAGCGCAGGGUCUCAGCAUGGUCAAGAGAUCUUAGCGCUGAGUCAUGUCCAGUCAUGGACAUUGACAGUUACCUUGACCAUUACCACAGAGUCCUCUUAUGGUGCUGAAAAUAAAAGCAAUCGGAUGACAGCA